rnacentral:rRNA from 1 species
GGAUCAUUACAAGAAGCCGAAAGGCUACUUCAAACCAUCGCUAACUCGUCCAAGUUGCUUCGGCGGCGCGGCACCCCUUAACGGGGGCGCCGCAGCCCUGCCUCUCCGGAGGUUCGGGGCGCCCGCCGGAGGUACGAAACUCUGUAUUAUAGUGGCAUCUCUGAGUAUAAAACAAAUAAGUUAAAACUUUCAACAACGGAUCUCUUGGUUCUGGCAUCGAUGAAGAACGCAGCGAAAUGCGAUAAGUAAUGUGAAUUGCAGAAUUCAGUGAAUCAUCGAAUCUUUGAACGCACAUUGCGCCCGGUAGUACUCUACCGGGCAUGCCUGUUCGAGCGUCAUUUCAACCCUCAAGCCCUGCUUGGUGUUGGGGCCCUACGGCUGCCGUAGGCCCUGAAAGGAAGUGGCGGGCUCGCUACAACUCCGAGCGUAGUAAUUCAUUAUCUCGCUAGGGAGGUUGCGGCGUGCUCCUGCCGUUAAAGACCCAUCUUUAACCAAGGUUGACCUCGGAUCAGGUAGGAAUACCCGCUGAACUUAAGCAUAUCAAUAAGCGGAGGAAAAGAAACCAACAGGGAUUGCCCUAGUAACGGCGAGUGAAGCGGCAACAGCUCAAAUUUGAAAUCUGGCUUCGGCCCGAGUUGUAAUUUGUAGAGGAUGCUUUUGGUGAGGUGCCUUCUGAGUUCCCUGGAACGGGACGCCAGAGAGGGUGAGAGCCCCGUAUAGUCGGCCACCGAUCCUUUGUAAAGCUCCUUCGACGAGUCGAGUAGUUUGGGAAUGCUGCUCAAAAUGGGAGGUAUAUCUCUUCUAAAGCUAAAUAUAGGCCAGAGACCGAUAGCGCACAAGUAGAGUGAUCGAAAGAUGAAAAGCACUUUGAAAAGAGGGUUAAAUAGCACGUGAAAUUGUUGAAAGGGAAGCGCUUGUGACCAGACUUGUGCCGGGCUGAUCAUCCAGUGUUCUCACUGGUGCACUCGACCCGGCUCAGGCCAGCGUCGGUUUUCGUGGGGGGAUAAAAGCUUCGGGAACGUGGCACCUUCGGGUGUGUUAUAGCCCGUUGCUUAAUACCUCCGUGGAGACCGAGGU